CGGUCAUACAAUGAACGGCUGAAUAUACCAGUUCUCGUUAGAUCACCGAAGUAAGCAUCAUUGGUCGCGGUCAGUACUUGGGUGGGUGACCACCUGGAAACACCGCGUGCCGUU
rnacentral:rRNA from 1 species